UACGAAGGGGGCUAGCGUUGUUCGGAAUCACUGGGCGUAAAGGGCGCGUAGGCGGCCGAUCAAGUCGGGGGUGAAAGCCUGUGGCUCAACCACAGAAUUGCCUUCGAUACUGUUUGGCUUGAGACCGGAAGAGGUAAGUGGAACUGCGAGUGUAGAGGUGAAAUUCGUAGAUAUUCGCAAGAACACCAGUGGCGAAGGCGGCUUACUGGUCCGGUUCUGACGCUGAGGCGCGGAAGCGUGGGGAGCAAACAGG
rnacentral:rRNA from 1 species